ensembl:lncRNA
GUGGUGCUCAAGCUACCAGCAGAUCUCAAUGCUAGUAGGAGAUUCUUCAGCCAGUAUGGAGCCUGGUACUUGGGGACAAAGAGGCCACGUUACACUGAGGAAUAUUGGGAGUGAGAGGAUAAAAGUUUUCCUGAGAUCUUUGGACCAAGAGUUCCAGCUGCUUAUGCUGUAAGUCCUGCUCUGGGAGUUAGGCCUGAGAGACUGUACUUCAUCCCGGGGUUCAGAGAAGGACACUAGGCAGGCCCUGUCUGGGGUGACAGAGUAGGAGAGAGGUUGAAUGUAGGCCUGAGUUAGGGGUGGGAUUCAAGAUCAGAGUGGACUGGGGCUACAGUGGGGAUUCUUUAGCCUGAAUAUGGACUGGGAAUGUACUGAAUAAGACAAAAGGAGACCCUAGUGGGGACCAGCCACCCAAGGCCAGGACAGUAGCCCCAGGGACUCACUGUGCUGAGAGGGGAGACCCUGAAAGAGCUGGCUCCAUUUCUGCUGCAAACAGUCCCUCUGAACUUCGGGACUUGGGAACUGCCCUGGCCUGCCGCCCCUGUGGUUUGUCUAUGAUGCUCUACAGGGCUUGGGAGUCUGUGGGUGUCCUGUGUGUCCACAAGAGACUCUGAAGUAGUCCUGGAAGAUUUCCUUGGUAGUCUGCCUCAGUUGCUUGGACCCCGAAGGUCUGCCUCCGGAUAUCCAUUACACUGUGUCUCACACUGCCACCUGCUGGGCAAGACCCACCGGCCAGCUCCACCGUUCUUCCACUCCUAGGACGGACCUAGCAGGGAACCAGCGAAGUGCGGACAGCAGGGACAGCAAGCCUGCUCUCAGCCUUUCUACUGGCUCUUGGAGAACAGCAUCCUGGAUUCAGAUGACCAAAAAAAGAGGAGUUCAAGAAUGUGAGCAUGAAAGGGGACCUGCCACCUAGGUUUGCAGAUAGUGCAACAUAGGCUGGUGCAAGUUCGGUCAAGAUCUCCAAGUAUUUCAGUGACAAAGUUGGGACUCAGGCCUCUUGCAAAGGAAAAACAAAAACUAGAAAAGAUACUCACUGAGGUGUUUUCUGUGCUUUCUCUGGGUGAAUUAAUGUUACCUUGACUCUUCUUUCUG